GAUGAACGCUGGCGGCGUGCUUAACACAUGCAAGUCGAACGCUGAAGCCCAGCCGGCUGGGCGGGUUAGUGGCGAACGUGAGUGAAACACGUGAGAACUCCGCCCUUGACUCUGGGAUAUCCCCGGGAAAGGGGGUAAAAUCCGGUGUGGGCGCGCGCCGCGUAGUCCGGUGGUGGGAAGGAUUUUCGGCUGGGGAUGGGCCCGCGGCCUAUCAGCUUGUUGGUGGGGUAGUGGCCUACCAAGGGGACGACGGGUAGCCGGCCUGAGAGGGUGACCGGCCACACUGGGACUGAGACACGGCCCAGACCCCUACGGGAGGCAGCAGUGGGGAAUAUUGCGCAAUGGGCGGAAGCCUGAAGCAGCGACGCCGCGUGGGGGAUGACGGCCUUCGGGUUGUAAACCUCUUUCAGCAGGGACGAAGCGAAAGUGACGGUACCUGCAGAAGAAGCACCGGCUAACUACGUG
rnacentral:rRNA from 1 species